rnacentral:rRNA from 14 species
GAAACUGCGAAUGGCUCAUUAAAUCAGUUAUAGUUUAUUUGAUGGUUUUUGCUACAUGGAUAACUGUGGUAAUUCUAGAGCUAAUACAUGCAUUCAAGCCCCGACUUCUGGAAGGGGUGUAUUUAUUAGAUAAAAAUCAACUUUGUUGGUGAAUCAUAAUAACUUCUCGGACCGCAUGGCCUCGUGCUGGCGGUGCUUCAUUCAAAUAUCUGCCCUAUCAACUGUCGAUGGUAGGAUAGAGGCCUACCAUGGUUGCAACGGGUAACGGGGAAUAAGGGUUCGAUUCCGGAGAGGGAGC